rnacentral:rRNA from 1 species
AUUGAACGCUGGCGGCAUGCCUUACACAUGCAAGUCGAACGGCAGCACGGGAGCAAUCCUGGUGGCGAGUGGCGAACGGGUGAGUAAUAUAUCGGAACGUGCCCAGUCGUGGGGAUAACGUAGCGAAAGCUACGCUAAUACCGCAUACGAUCUAUGGAUGAAAGCGGGGGAUCGCAAGACCUCGCGCGAUUGGAGCGGCCGAUAUCAGAUUAGGUAGUUGGUGAGGUAAAGGCUCACCAAGCCGACGAUCUGUAGCUGGUCUGAGAGGACGACCAGCCACACUGGGACUGAGACACGGCCCAGACUCCUACGGGAGGCAGCAGUGGGGAAUUUUUGGACAACGGGCGCAAGCCUGAUCCAGCAAUGCCGCGUGCAGGAUGAAGGCC